ACUGAGUUCUAAAAACAUGUAAUGCAAUAGUCAGACGGUAAGGAGGGUUAAAGGACCUCACUCUCCUAGCUUCUGUUUUCUUGUGGUGUAGGGGCAUGGCAGUGGUGGUUAAAAGAUAAACCUCUUUUUUCCCUUAAAUUUUUAAUUGACAUAUAUAUAACAUUUGUACCAAAAGGUGCAUGACAAAUCAUCAGUGUAUAGCUGAGUGAAUUUUCAAAAUGUAACCAGAUCAGGAAAUAGAACAAAACCAGUGUCUCAGAAGCCCUUCUAUACACCUGCUCCUCGUAGUCCUUUGCUCUCACUGUAACUAUUAUCCUGGCUUCUAACACUAGAUUCGUUUUGAUCCCCACAUACACACCACACACACACACAGCCUCUCCAUGUGUGUGUAUGUGUGUGUGUGUGUUGGCUAGUCUUCAGCAGGAUUUUGAUUGUAAAUCCCUGUAUAAUUAGUGAGUCUAAGAAAAUUACUGAUUUAUCUAGGGGACUUUUUAACAAUAACUAUCAC